GUUUGAUCCUGGCUCAGGAUGAACGCUGGCGGCGUGCCUAAUACAUGCAAGUCGAACGGGGAUUUCAGCAAUGGGAUCCUAGUGGCGAACGGGUGAGUAACGCGUUGGUGACCUGCCCCGAAGAGAGGGAUAACAGACCGAAAGGUUUGCUAAUACCGCAUAAGCUCGAGCUAGUCAGAGAGGCUUGAGGAAAGGCCGAAAGGCGCUUUGGGAGGGGCCUGCGUCCCAUCAGCUAGUUGGCGAGGUAAAAGCUCACCAAGGCGAUGACGGGUAGGGGACCUGAGAGGGUGACCCCCCACAAUGGAACUGAAACGCGGUCCAUACACCUACGGGUGGCAGCAGUAGGGAAUAUUGGUUAAUGGGCGAAAGCCUGACCCAGCAACGCCGCGUGCGCGAUGAAGGCCUUCGGGUUGUAAAGCGCUUUUAAGUGGGAUGAGGAAGGACAGUACCACUAGAAUAAGUCUCGGCUAACUACGUGCCAGCAGCCGCGGUAACACGUAGGAGACGAGCGUUAUCCGGAUUUACUGGGUGUAAAGCGCGUGCAGGCGGUAUGGAAAGUUGGAUGUGAAAGCUCCCGGCUUAACUGGGAGAGGUCGUUCAAAACUACCAAACUAGAGUACAGCAGAGGGGAGUGGAAUUCCGAGUGUAGCGGUAAAAUGCAUAGAUAUUCGGAAGAACACCAGUGGCGAAGGCGGCUCCCUGGGCUGAAACUGACGCUCAGACGCGAAAGCUAGGGUAGCGAACGGGAUUAGAGACCCCGGUAGUCCUAGCCGUAAACGAUGUGGACUUGGCGUAGCGGGUUGAAAUCCAUCUGUGCCGAAGCAAACGCGAUAAGUCCACCACCUGGGGACUACGGCCGCAGGGCUAAAACUCAAAGGAA
rnacentral:rRNA from 1 species